AAAACCGCGGAUACUUUUUAAAUGACCUAAUAUAAGAUACAUGGACGCGAUAAGGAUAUAGCUAUCCUCUUCAUAUUGUGUGAGAAAUAUAUACUGGAUUUGUACAGUGUAAUUUGGCAAAAAGUGAAAGAAGUCAGUCCGGAUGCGCUGCAAAGAAUACAAUUGAUUGUCAGUGAUUAUGAAUAUGCGGCUAUGAAGGCUGUAAGGGAGAUCUUCCCAGAAGCACAACUAAUCGACUAUUGAUUUCAUUUCAGUCAGAUCGUUCUAAAAUGUUAGAACGUCCUAUUAACGGUAGCACCUAGAAAAGUUCUCGACCUUACUAUGGCCUUAUCGUUAACACAAGCCGAUGCGUUCGAAACAGGAUUACAAAUAAUUCAAGAAGUUGAUAUGACAUCUAUAGAAUAUUGGACUGUGUUACAAUUCACGUACUUGGUUU